GAGGCUGUGUCAAGACGUUAUCAAGAAAUUUCUCCAAAAACAGCGACUUCCGGUCGUCCUCGGACCGUGCUACGCUUGCAGCCUCACAAGAAACGUGGUUAGAGACUGCCCAAACGUCCAACGAGGCUUCGUCCAACAACAGCCCAUUUUUAGCAGGUCCAGUUACCUAAGAACUGCAGCACAGACCGCCACUUCAGAUGUCAGAGAAAGCACUAAGUUAUAGAGAUGAGUAUAAUGAUUUUGUUUGUCUGUCCUGUCAUGAAUAUUCAGAGUGUGAGAUUUGUUUGUAUCAAUGUAUAGAUGUGAUGUGUAUUUAUUAAGGAUUCCCAUUGAUUUGUUUGUGCAAAUAAGUUUUUAAUGAGCACGUCUUGAUGUGAACCCAUUUAUACAUUAACAUGUAUCGGAGUAAAUAUAUAGUUAUUUAAAACAAAACAAACAACUCAUAAUAAUAAAAUGAAAUUGAGGAUAUAACGAUUAGUUUUGUUUGUUUAAGCAGUCAAUACUAUGAUAUGUUCUCGCUUCAUAUUUAUGUAUUAUGAAACGAUGAUUUUAUGAAAGGCGGUAUAUAUUGUAAUUAUUAUACUAAUUUUUAGUUUUAUAAUAUUAGUAUUAUUUCAGCAGAGAGGCUGUGUCAAGACGUUAUCAAGAAGGUUUUCUCCAACAACAGCGACUUUCGGUCGUCCUCGGACCGGGCUUCGCUUGCCGCCUAACAGGACACGUGGUUAGAGACUGCCCAUACGUCCAACGAGGCUUCGUCCCACAACAGCCCACUUCUAGCAGGUCCAGUCACCCAAGAACUGCAGCACAGACCGCAACUUUAGACGUCAGAGAAAGCACUAAGUUAUAGAAAUGACAUAUUUUGGCAUAGCAGUGUAUGGGACGAUAUUGGUGAAUUGAGUGCACAUAAUAGCUUGGGACACGCGGCUCAGAAGGACAGAGCCAGAGCAGCAAAAUCCAAGAAUACAAACAAAAAUAUGAAUUAUAUCUUUGACAAAUUUCAAGAAUGGUGUAGCGAGUAUGGUUUUAUUUCGUUGCCGGCAAAAGAAGCAUGUGUAUGUGUUUUUCUUAAGUGAAUUAGUGGACAAACAAUUUUCGAGUGCGGUUGUAGACGCGUAUUUCUACAACAUAAGUUGAAAGCAUGAUUUGUUUUAAGAGCAAAAUCCUUGUAAGAACAAGCUUGUAAAAUUUACAUUUGAAGGAUGCAAGCGAAUUUUGGCCGAGCCAGUGACAAAGAAAGAACCAUUAACUGCGGAUAUGUUAAAUAAUAUCAUUGACUUUCAUUGUAAGGACGGUCAGAAAUUAAGUGUGAAAAAUAUGAGGUUAUGUUUGAUGUGUAUUCUUUGGUAUUCGUUUUUUUCAGAUUUGAUGAGUUGUCUAGUUUAAAAAUGAAACUUUUCUUUUCAGGAUUCUCAUGUUUUUAUUUUUUUAUAGAACAUAGAAACUGUGAUCAGUUAAAAUCUGGUAAUAGUGUUAUUGUGCCAAAAACAGAUAACAGGCUAUGUCCGGUAUCCUGGUUAAAGAUAUAUCGCUGCGGGUCUCACAUUAUUUCGAACUUAUAUUUUUUUACAAAAGUUAGAUUUUUGAAAAGUAAAGGAAUUUAUGUUUUGUGCGACACAGAUUCUGCUUUAUCAUAUACCAGGACAAGGGAGAUAUUUUUAGAAGCAAUUCAGAGCACAGGGGAGCCUCCGCUGCUGCUAAAAGCGGAAAAAUCACAGAUGAUAAAUUGUUAGCCAAGCACGGUCGUUGGAAUUCGGAAGCUUCGGUUGAUGGAUAGUUUCAUUUCAGUAUAGAAACUAUUUUGUUUGAAUGUACAUUUUUCAUAUAGAACGUUGCUGUUGUAUUGGUGUGUUAAUGACAUUGUAUUGUUUCUAGUCUACUAGUAUGGGUGAGGCCCAACACUCGGCAACAUGACAUUUUGACAAACGGGCACAGGUUUCCAGAGCCUUUUCCUAAGACAUUCGAAAAGGGUUUUUAUAUCUGGUUUUUCCUGGGCGAGUCAUGUUGCAUUUUAUACACAUCCUAGUUUAAUAAAUAAUGUGUAUUUUGGAGUUAAUGUAAAGUUUAUGCUUUGUUUGUGUGAAAAUAAUAUGUUUUACAUAAUUAAAAAUGAUAUUUUGUUCCUGGGUUUUGAAUAGGCAAGAACUAUGAUCUGUUAAUGUACUUGUCUACUUACAUUAAUCCUGUUGGUAAAACGGCUACAAUAAAAGCGGACCGCCUUCUA